rnacentral:rRNA from 1 species
GACGAACGCUGGCGGCGUGCCUAAUACAUGCAAGUUGAGCGAUGAAGUUUGGUGCUUGCCCCAAUUUGAAGAGCAGCGAACGGGUGAGUAACGCGUGGGGAAUCUGCCUUUGAGCGGGGGACAACAUUUGGAAACGAAUGCUAAUACCGCAUAACAACUUUAAACAUAAGUUUUAAGUUUGAAAGAUGCAAUUGCAUCACUCAAAGAUGAUCCCGCGUUGUAUUAGCUAGUUGGUGAGGUAAAGGCUCACCAAGGCGAUGAUACAUAGCCGACCUGAGAGGGUGAUCGGCCACAUUGGGACUGAGACACGGCCCAAACUCCUACGGGAGGCAGCAGUAGGGAAUCUUCGGCAAUGGACGAAAGUCUGACCGAGCAACGCCGCGUGAGUGAAGAAGGUUUUCGGAUCGUAAAACUCUGUUGGUAGAGAAGAACGUUGGUGAGAGUGGAAAGCUCAUCAAGUGACGGUAACUACCCAGAAAGGGACGGCUAACUACGU